rnacentral:rRNA from 1 species
UACAGAGGGGGCAAGCGUUGUUCGGAAUUACUGGGCGUAAAGGGCGCGUAGGCGGCCUAUUAAGUCGGACGUGAAAUCCCUCGGCUCAACCGGGGAACUGCAUUCGAUACUGCCGUGCUUGAGGACUGGAGAGGAGACUGGAAUUUACGGUGUAGCGGUGAAAUGCGUAGAUAUCGUAAGGAAGACCAGUGGCGAAGGCGGGUCUCUGGACAGUUCCUGACGCUGAGGCACGAAGGCCAGGGGAGCAAACGGG